rnacentral:lncRNA from 1 species
AAGGGUGACACGUGUCUUCCAAUCCCUCUUUUACUCUCUCUCCCUCUAUAUAUAUAAUAAUAUAAUACAUAUACAUAUAGAAUUGAGUUCUUAUGCUUUUAAAAGUACCAAGUUAUUGGUGCUUGUAGAUUUUUAGCUAUUGGAUUAAAAGAUAUGCGGUUAGGAUGAUGUGGGCCCCCUAGGAUUGAAUGGGUGGUUGGUUGAAUAGUAUAAUCUAAUGGUUGAAAAUGAUCCGAAUAGUAGAUUUAACGGUUAAAAACUUACAAGCACCAAGUGCUUUGUGCUUUUACAAGCACCAUAGGUGGUCUCUCUCUCUCUCUCUCUCUCUCCCUCUC